GGUGCUUGCUGAAGGCCUGUUGCCUAGGCUACAAACAGGGAACAUGUCUCCCACCCUGAGCCUAGGGGAAAGUCCGCAGACCUCUGACAGAAAGCGCCAUGCACGCAUGUGCGUCUGGCUGCUGUCGCAGCUCCCCUUCUCCCCACCAAGAAGUACCUCUACUUCCAUGGAAGCACUGAGCAGAAAGAGCCUGUGAAUCCACCCUACAUCAAGAAAAUAGUUAUGCAGGCAGUGCACCUCAUGCACAUUAACUAAAUGAGGCUCAUUCUCAAGCUCCAGCCU
rnacentral:RNase_MRP_RNA from 1 species